GGCUUUGUAGCUCAGCUGGUAGAGUGCUUGCUGCUUUGAGGCAUACCGUUUCUGCCGCUGGUUCGAAUCCAGCCGAGGCCA